CUACUUCCUGUCACCAGUAAGGUUUUCUGAAGCUUUCUUUCCACCAGGGAAGACUGCAAAGGCCAGAGAUCAUUUUCACAACUAAAGGUCGUCAUCUGGGCAAAUGAACCACUCUGACUUGGAGAUUAGGGGCUCAGACAGCCGUGGAUGAGAGUCCAGCUCUACUACUUAUUAGCCUUGAUUAGCCCACAGUGACUUUCCAAAACUUUGACCCCUCUGCCAGGACCUUCUCGACAUCCACCUCUAAUUCUCAGAAGGAGACCUUACUUCCUACAUCUGUGAGAAAACUGAGGACUGCACAUGUGAACCACCUUAACCUUCUGCCCCACCCCCCCCCAUUCAUUCCUUGACUCAUUUAACAAAUAUUUUUUCAACACCUGUUAUGUAACAAGCUCUAUGCGAGGUGCUGGGGAUGAAAUAAAUAACAAACACGCUCUACAUUCAUGAGGCUUACUGUCUGGUGAUGGAUAAAGCUGUAUAAAGAUGACUAAUAAGAGGUCUAACUAUCUUCAUGCUGCAAAACAACCCAAACUACUGCAUGCUCCAGUUGACUGUCACUGCCGAGACCAGCUUCUGAGUAAUUUCAGCCCAGGCAUCAGACUAGUGAGGGAAGGAGCUUCCAGGUGAUACCACCUCCCAGCCAUACUGUGAGAGGGAUGGGAAAGACUGGUGCUUGGGGUGGCCAUCUGACCCCUGAUGGACAGGAGACCAGGACAAGCCCACUGGAUGAGCCGGAGGGGUCCAGGAGGAGGGAGUUGAGAGCUCCUGCUAGGGUUGACACAUUCUGGUAAGGAGUUCAUCUGCUGUCCACCAGGGGAGACAAUAAAAAGGUCAACACAGCUCCCACCUCGAAGCAGCUGCCAGUUUAUUACAUGAAGUGUCAGGCUGUGGACUGCAGGCAUGCCAUUUUGUCUUCAAGAACAGGUGGGAUCAGAGGUCCUUGACUGAUCAGAAUACACUGCUUUCAACCAAAACAUUAUUAGCAUUGAUUUCUUAAAAAAUAAUAGCAAAGUAGAAAACCUUUAGCUGGUCUGUUUCUUCGUGUCCUGAAACUUCCUUAUUAGUGUAAUUAAAAGUACUAAGUUAAGAAUUAGCCUGGGAAAGGACCCUACUUAUGGCAAAGUCUUCAGAAAAGUAAAGAGCAAAACCAGAUAUGUGCCUUGUUCUCAUGGUGCUGACAGUAUAGCGAAGAGGAAAUACUUUAAUCAUACGAAUAAAUAAAUGUAAAGUUAGAACUGUGCAACUGCUACGAAGAGAGGAUAUAGCACUAAAAAGCCCUAGAAUGGGAGAUUUGACCUGGCCAGGGAUGUCAAGAAAUGCUUCCAAGAGGAAGUGGUUCUUGAGCUGAGAUUGGAAUUAACUGGGCAAAGGGCUCCGGGUAGAGAAAACAGCAUGCUCAGGUACUAUGUUGGAGGACAUAUGGGGAGUUCGAGAAACUCCAAAACUGCCAGUGUGACUGAAGCAAAGGGAGCUAGAGUGUUAGGAGCUUAUAAUCCCCACUAAAGGAUUUUGUCUUAGCCCAAGAGCAAAGAGAUACCAGUGGAGACUGCUAAGCAGGAGGACAACAUGACACAUUUGUGCUUUUAAAGGUUUACUCUAGCUUUAGUGUGGAGAGUGGCUGGGAGAAGUCAGAACAGAUACAAGUGCACAGUUUGGGUGCCAGAACAGUCUUCCAGGAUGUGAAGAUGUGAUACUGAACUUGGACAGUGGUAGUAGAAAUGGAGAGAUGUGGAUAGACUCAGAUAUUUAAAUACAUAUACAAAUGAUGAGAGCAUUAUAAAAAGAGGAUCGUGGAAGCCAAGAUUCUGUGCUGCAAUGGAUCAAAGUAUUUUCUGUGGUUUGAGAUUUUCUAAGAUACUCUCUCUUUACAGAAUUCCCGGGCACACGAAUGAUUCCAGGGUUCCUCCAGCACUUUGGUAUUACUUGAAAGCAAUCUUAAGGGAUCUAGAAUGAACCAACGCCCAAAAAGGAUCCCUUAGCAGCGGUGAUAUCAAAGAAACACUUUUGAAGAACUAAUUUUCCACCCAGAUUUCCCCAAUUUUAAAAGCAAUGGGCAAAGCCUUCUCCACUCCUAAACUUCCUGGAACUGUCUUUUGGCUAUAUCAGGCCCCUGAAGUUAGAGUCUUUGAAAGACUCCAAACUCCAAAUUCUAUGCUUUUAUUCUCAGGCUCCUCAUAAUUCUACAGCACACCAGACUGCUGACCACUCUCCGUACCACUUUUAAAUUAUUUCUUCCCACAGCUUUCUUAACAAUGAACCUUUGAAAUCUUUUUAGUUUUCCAUUUAUUUUGCUACCUUUCCUCUGUCCUAGCUCUAAAAUGAAGAUCCUCUAAGGUUCUACAGUUUACUUCUUGUAUUCUCCUUUGUAAGUCAUCUCCAAGACGAUGUCCAAAUCCAUCACCAUUAAAAUUAAUAGUUUCCUCACCCACAACACUUAAUAUUUUAAAAAAAAUACUUUUCAUUGUAUUAUAAUUACUUGAUACAUACAUAUUUGCUCUGUGAGUUCCUUAUUCAUCAUAUUAGUGCCUGACAAUAAAUGUGUGCUGGAUUGAGCUGAA
rnacentral:lncRNA from 1 species